AUUUUUGUAUUUUUUUUUUUAGUAGAGACGGGGUUUCACCAUGUUGGUCAGGCUGGUCUCGAACUCCUGACCUCGUGAUCCACUCACCUCGGUCUCCCAAAGUGCUAGGAUUACAGGCGUGAGCCACCACGCCCAGCAUCCCUGUACCUUUCUAAAUGGUGGUGAGUUGAGGCUGUCUGAAUCCCAGCCCAUCCAGCCCAACAUCCAAGUCAGUCCUAGAGAGGUGGCCCCCCCCCAAAAAGGGGAGUGGAACCCAGCUGUCUGCCUUCUGGGUUGGAGCUUGGAGAUAGGAGAGAAGGUCUGAUCUGUUGACUACUUUUCGCCCCGACCUGGUCUUCCUGGGGCCUGCUCGUAUGUUCCCGGCAGCUUUCUGGUAAACUUACAGUACCGCCGUCUCUACCGAAGCAUGAACUCCCAGUAUCUGAAGCUGCUUAGCUCACAGAAAUACCAGAUCCUAUUAUAUAAUGGAGAUGUAGACAUGGCCUGCAAUUUCAUGGGGGAUGAGUGGU
rnacentral:lncRNA from 1 species